CCCAACUAUCCCUAUUAAUCAUUACGUCAAUCCUAGAAACCAACAAAAUAGGAUCGAACGUCCUAUUUCAUUAUUCCAUGCUAAUGUAUUCAGGCGUUAGCCUGCUUUAAACACUCUAAUUUUUUCAAAGUAACAGUCCAGAUUCCCUGCAACACCAAAUUAAUGGCAUUACAGUUCAUCAGUAAGGAGGAAUCAGUGAGACCAGUACAUACCAGUGGCAUGACCAACCUACUGACCCCGAAAUUCAACUACGAGCUUUUUAACUGCAACAACUUUAAUAUACGCUAUUGGAGCUGGAAUUACCGCGGCUGCUGGCACCAGACUUGCCCUCC
rnacentral:misc_RNA from 1 species